rnacentral:rRNA from 1 species
AGAGUUUGAUCCUGGCUCAGGAUGAACGCUAGCGGCAGGCUUAAUACAUGCAAGUCGUGGGGCAGCGCGGGUAGCAAUACCUGGCGGCGACCGGCAAACGGGUGAGGAACAUGUACGCAACCUUCCUUUAACUGGAGAAUAGCCCCUCGAAAGAGGGAUUAAUACUCCGUAACAUAAUGAAGUGGCAUCACUUUAUUAUUAUAGCUUCGGCGGUUAAGAUGGGCGUGCACCUGAUUAGAUAGUUGGCGGGGUAACGGCCACCAAGUCAGCGAUCAGUAACUGGUGUGAGAGCACGACCAGUCACACGGGCACUGAGACACGGGCCCGACUCCUACGGGAGGCAGCAGUAAGGAAUAUUGGUCAAUGGACGCAAGUCUGAACCAGCCAUGCCGCGUGGAGGAUUAAGGCCCUCUGGGUUGUAAACUCCUUUUAUCUGGGAAGAAAUGUUUCGAUUCUUCGGAACUUGACGGUACAGAGGAAUAAGCACCGGCUAACUCCGUGCCAGCAGCCGCGGUAUACGGAGGGUGCAAGCGUUAUCCGGAUUCACUGGGUUUAAAGGGUGCGUAGGCGGGCAGGUAAGUCAGUGGUGAAAUCUCCGAGCUUAACUCGGAAACUGCCGUUGAUACUAUUUGUCUUGAAUAUUGUGGAGGUAAGCGGAAUAUGUCAUGUAGCGGUGAAAUGCUUAGAUAUGACAUAGAACACCAAUUGCGAAGGCAGCUUACUACACAAUAUUGACGCUGAGGCACGAAAGCGUGGGGAUCAAACAGGAUUAGAACCCUGGUAGUCCACGCCCUAAACGAUGAUUACUCGACAUACGCGAUACACUGUGUGUGUCUGAGCGAAAGCAUUAAGUAAUCCACCUGGGAAGUACGAUCGCAAGAUUGAAACUCAAAUGAAUUGACGG